AGUGAACGCUGGCGGUAGGCCUAACACAUGCAAGUCGAACGGCAGCACAGUAAGAGCUUGCUCUUACGGGUGGCGAGUGGCGGACGGGUGAGGAAUACAUCGGAAUCUACUUUUUCGUGGGGGAUAACGUAGGGAAACUUACGCUAAUACCGCAUACGACCUACGGGUGAAAGCAGGGGAUCUUCGGACCUUGCGCGAUUGAAUGAGCCGAUGUCGGAUUAGCUAGUUGGCGGGGUCAAGGCCCACCAAGGCGACGAUCCGUAGCUGGUCUGAGAGGAUGAUCAGCCACACUAGAACUGAGACACGGUCCAGACUCCUACGGGAGGCAGCAGUGGGGAAUAUUGGACAAUGGGCGCAAGCCUGAUCCAGCCAUACCGCGUGGGUGAAGAAGGCCUUCGGGUUGUAAAGCCCUGUUGUUGGGAAAGAAAAGCAGCAGGUUAAUACCCCGCUGUUCUGACGGUACCCAAAGAAUAAGCACCGGCUAACUUCGUG
rnacentral:rRNA from 1 species